rnacentral:lncRNA from 1 species
CAGAAACUCAGAAACUCACAAAGCAGGGGUGAGACCUCUGCUCGACAGCAAAGGCAGGCAGCGUCCCUCAUCCCUGCACCACGAGGGCGUCACAGCCCCUUCCCGGGUGGCCACAGCCACAGGGCACCCUGCGCCCUCUCCGGGCCUCGCCUUCCUCUUCUGAAACAGGACGGUGAUCUCAUCCCCCUCACAGGCUGAUGCAGAGACCUAAGGAGCACACUGGCUGUACACGGAGGAAAGCACCUCGGUUUCCUGAAGCAGUGUGGCAUUCGAGUCUGAUUUCCAGCAACUCCACUGCCCCCGCAGCCAGACUUUGCAUGAGCAGAGUUCGCAAACCUUCUAGAAUCUGGCGAGGAACAGAGGAAAUCAGCUAAAGGGCGUAACAGGAAGUGGGGCCUGGACCGGGAACCUGGUUCCUCCGCUCUUUCCCUAUAGGUACAGAAGGAACAGGCCCAGGAAUGAGUAAGAAUGUUUUUCUCUACAAAUAACUCACACCCAAGCCUCAAGCAGGGUUAGGGAGUGAGGCAUUGUGUCAUCACCUACCACAGGAAGCCCAGAGCCAGGGCAGACUCCAGACACGGCACGCAGGGUUGUGACUCUACACACCUGGCGCCUGGGGCACUGGUGUCUUCCAGGCAGCUCUGCCAGGUGUCACAUCUGGACAAGACAGAGAGGUACUAUCUUCCCCUUAGGAGUGAUGAACUCCUUUCCAGAAGCUUCCUGCAGGCUUCUCCUCAUGCCUCACGUCUAGAAUAGAGUGAUCUGCAUGUUCCAAGAACAGUCACUGGUUGGAGAGUUGGUAUCACCGUGACUGGGUGAGCCUGAUGGCUCUAAACUCUGGCUGUACAUCAGAAGCACACACUGAGCUUCUGAAAAGGAGAGGCCUGGGCCCCACUUCCAGAGAUUCAGUUCAAUGGAUCUCCUGUAGUACCUGAGCAUCAGAACUUCGUAGCCCCCGAAGGUGCAUGCUACGGCCAGAAAGAAACUCAGGGAAAAAUGGAUGUUGCAGAGACGUCGCCACAAAUGAAACCCACAGCGACAGGAGAAAGCGGCUCGCGUCCCGUUGAAGAAGAUGCUUCCCUGGAUUACUGUGCAGAGUUGAAGCUUUACCUUUCACCUGGAGAACGCGUGGUUCUGUGACCAAAACAGUGGCAGCUCCUCCACCAGCCCCUGCUGCUCCCAUCCCUUCCAGGGAAGAAACUUUUGUUUCUGUGAUGCCAGCGCAGGCAUUCAGAGCAAAGCCACUUCCAGGAAAUUCUAAGAAUGAGGUGCGGGCACCACUGGGCUGGCGCAUGAGAGUCAUGUGCCUCAGACUCCACGCCCCCUGCUGACCGUGCCCACAGGCUCCCAGGUUAUCUGUGGCGGAGGUCAGGGUCUGCUGGGCAGGGUCAGGGAUGUCUGGUUGGGCUGAAGCAGAUGCAGGGGUCCUGCGGUCACCACUGCCUCCGAUGAAGCUCUGAAUGGUCUUCUCUGUUCUUCCAUACGGUCAUGUGCCACACAACAACAUUUCCAACCACAGACAGCGUAUACUAUGGUUGUCCUGUAAGAGUAUAAGGGAGCUGAAAAAUUCCUAUCAUGUGAUGACAUUGUAGCCACCUCAACGUCUUAGCACAAUUAUAUAUAUAUACACACACACAUAUAUAUACUUUAUAUGUAGAGAGAGAGAGUGUGGCCUACGUGUGCAGUGUUUAUAAAGUCUGCAGUAGUCAUAGUGAUGUCCUAGGUCUUCACAUUCACUCCCGACUCACCCACUGACUCACAAGAGCAGCUGCCAGUCCUGCAAGCUCCACUCAUGAUUAGCCUUCGAGCUUCCUGAGAACUGAGACAACGAGGUCCCCUCCAUCUUUGAGUCAGCCUGGCCUCGGGGACAGAGGAUGGAUUUUGGAGUCGGACAAGCCCCGGCUGAGGCUCCCUUCAGGUGUUCACUUGGGCAACAACACGGUGGCUGUGGGAUGACUUGGCUUGUGCGGGACUCUGAGUAGCACGGCCCAGCCGUGACCUCUUGCUGUCCCUCCAGUCCACAGGGACCUGAAUGCAGGUGGUCACCAGCCUCCUCUGGAGCAUAUCACUUCCAGUAGUUGGUAUCUGCAUUAAUAGCCCUUGGGAGGACAGGGGCCCUGAGGGGGGUUUCCUGUAACCAAAGAGGUAAUGUAAUAUGGUGGAGUUCCUAAGGGAUUCAAGAUUAGGCUAAUCCUGCCCUUCAAACAUUUCCCCUGAAACCUCUCAGUCAUGACCUUCCAAGACGAGAAGCUUCACGGCAGGCAAUGAACAGAGACGGCGUCAUCUCCAAGGCUCAGUGGAGCGAGUCACGUCACCCUCACUUAGCUGCAUGGCGCAUACCAUGAGUCUUGACCAUCACCCGUGGCUUCAUAAAAACUGACCUUUAUUCAGUGAGACCUUCCUGAGUGUCCGUGCUGCGUUUAACUCUUUGAAACAUAAUCUCAUUUAGUCCUCACAGCAUCACCCAGGAGGGAGAUACUAUCUUCAUUCCCGUUUUGCAGGUUCAUCGACGUGUAAGGAUGUCCCCAUCCUGAAGGCUGAAUGAUGGCCGUUGUGUGCACAGACCACGUAAUGUUGAUCCAUUCGUCUGUUGGUGGGUGCUCGGCUGCUUCCGCCUCUCGGCUAUUGUGAACAGAGCUGCCGUGAAGACAGGAGUGCAAGUAUCUCUCUGAGACUGUGCUUCCCAUUCUUUGUGUGAUGCCCAGAAGUGGAACUGCUGGACCCUACAGUCAUUCUGUUUCCUUUUUUGAGGAACUGCCAUACUCUUCACCACAGUGGCUGCACCAUUUUACAUUAUCUUAUUCACCCAUUCUUUAAAUCACUGUUUUUUGGAAGGCAGAAAACUGUAGCUCACUGGGAAACCAGCCACAUCAUUGGUGCUCAGAGCAUUGAAGGUCUGUCUCUUGGGAACCCAGAGAUUUAGGGAGUCCCAGCUCUCUGUCCAGCCACACAGACAAUGAGUGCUGCCUGCCUAGAGCUGCCCGAAUGGGGAGGGGCAUGUAGCUUGGCACGAAGAUGGACUCCUGUGCCAAAAACAGCCGCACACAAAGCCCUCUGGUGUGAAAUGGUAUUGGAGUUAGUUAUGCAGGAGAAUGUCCUUGUUUGGGAAGUAUGUGCAGAAGUGUUUAGGGGUAAAGCAGCGGCACUGCCAUGCAGGAGAGGCAGCACAGGACCCUCCUGUUGGAGUGCUGCCCCCCAGCCCCCUGCCCACUAACAGGGUUCCUGAAGAGCUAAGAGCCUUUCGAUCUGCUAGACUGUCUGGCGAGGGUUUCCCUGACUAUUCUCCACGGGGAGUUCACCCAGCUGGAAACAAUAACUGCCCCUGCACCCGAUUCCUGAACCCCCCCGCACCCCACUGUAGUCUGCAAAACUCCCAUCACCUGAACAACAGACCAGAGGAGGAAAGAUUCACAGCACUCCACUGACCAGCUAAUACUUACUGAACACCAGGGACGCUGAGAACUGGGGCAGAAGGAGGCUCCAAGGGCUUCCCCUUCUAAUCCCGGCAUCAUGAGUUCAUUCACUGGUGCAACUCAGUAAACAUUUCCUGGGCACCUACUCCAGAAAUGAAAGGCAUGGAUGGGGCAGCCACCUAACAAGAGGCAAACACUAUCGCCUGGUCUUUUUUUACUAAUUAGAGCAGAACGCUUUUGUAUCAAAAUAACUGAAUUAUGAAACCAGCUGUGCAAAAAUCCUAAGUGAGACACAAAGAUUUUUCAGACUCAUCAGUUGCUGUCACCAUUCAAGAAAGCCAUUGCCUUAGGGACCUUGCAGAUUUCACCAUGAAAUAGGUAAAUAUGAACUCAUCUCCACGUCUUUCCCACUGACGCAGUAGCCCGCGCUCCUGGCCCUAGAAUGAAAUACGACCCACGGAUGCUGAGUGCCCCUGUCUGUGUACAGCCUGAGCGGAGCCACAAAUACACUCUGUCUUCAGCAAUCCAUCUGAAAUCAAGGAGAGAGGACCAAGAUGUGGGAAAUAAUUAAACAAAGUGCAAAGAAAAUAAACAGCAGGAGCAGCUUGGGCUAGCUGCGGGUGGUCAUUCCAGAGGGCGUGCAGCCCUGGAGCUGGCAGAAUGGGAUUCAGAAGGAUGGAGAAGGGCAGGAGGACUACACCAUGGUGGAAUGGCCAGGGCUGCUGAGGGGAGAGGGCCGCAGCUGAGGGAACAAUGCCUUUGGCCUCCGCGUGGUGUGAAGGUGAGCAUGGCCAUGCAAGUGCUGCAACAGCAACAAAUCCUGUGUCACUGCAUUAUUAAAUAGUACUCAUUUUCACUAACGGAGGAAAGAGGAACACACUGGUUAAUUCCCUAUGUUGUGUUCCAGGGAGCUGGGCACAGCUGGCAUCAUAUCAUCAGGAGACUCUCCACACAUUCCAGGCACUUAGAGAAAUGGGAAACGGCGCAGGGUGGGUGGAGAAAAGGAGAAACGAACAUGUUCAAAGGAUCCGCUCACUUUUCUAUAUCGCUAACAGGUCAAGCCAUUUGUUUGAGCAGAGGCAUUUUGGGGUCUAUGAUAAGCAGAGUGAGGGCCCGAGUUGAAGACAGUGGGAGACUGAGGGAGGAGAGGAAGGGCAUCUUAAGGCAGGGGGCCCCCGGGCCAGGGCCCCCCAGGGAAAGCCUGGGCAGUGUGUGACUCGGCCUCUGAGCCGUCCACUGCGAGAGCCUCUCAGCUGAAUCCUUGAUAUUUUGCAACACACGUAAUAUCAUGGCCAAUGGUCUGAGGGUGUGGGAUUCACUCAAGCUGGGGGUGACUUCCACAUUUGGGUGUGUGUAGAGGAUGAGGACAGACUGGGAGCCAAGACCCCAGGAAGUCUGUCAUGCAGGGAGCACAGGUGUGGGCACCUCGGCCCCUGAGGGUCCCUCCCGACAUCUGGAGUAUAAGGAACCCAGCAUGAAACAAACCUCAGGAACCAGGGAGACCUUGGCCGCACUUGGGCCUUCAAUACAUGAAUGUGGAAGAGCCUCGUACCAUUCAAUUAUUACUCACAUGAAGCAACUGCUGCGCUGUCGUUGCUGUUUUUGCUUGUACCUGUCCCGCCCCUCCCCCAGCAAAGUCAGUUAGAAGCAGACGCUGCUCAGUAACCAGUGGUACUUUCAUUAUUGAUGGCUUGGUUUCAUGCUAUCUGUGAUCUCCUUCCCUUUCUCUUUUUACUGAUCUCACCGGUAUUUGAAAAUUGGUACACGAUGUAGCUGACUACACCGUAGUCAAUUUUUUGAUUUCCCCAUCCACCAAGAAACGCUCCCUUACGGGUCAAAAAGCAAUUCCCCGGCUCUCUUCCCUUUUCCUGCGCACCGGCAGGCAGCCUUUCCUGCUGGUCCCAGUGCUUCUCGGAGGGCACCAUCACGCGCCGCCCUGGCCUCGCCCACGCAGGGCUCUGGAACGGCCCUGUGGCUGAGGCCAAGGGCACCCCUCCAAUGCCCACUGCCCUGCUGAUAUCCCCGACACCGCCCACCUCUCCACCUUCCACGCUGCUCCGCCCUCCUCCGCCACACACACUCCAAACCUGCAGUAUUCUGAGAAACGCUGAUUCACGUGUCAAUGGGGGGUAUAGGAAGAGAGAUGAAGAUAGUCAAGUUUCCAUUCUCAAAAUUCUCAAAAUUCAAAGGAAAACACCAUUGAGGUAGCUUAUGAUUAUUGGCACCUUACAGACUGGGAAACUGAGGCUCCUUCUGCCAAGGACGAGGGGCAGGAGGAACCAAAGGUCUGCAGAGAAGACAGAAAGCUGCCAGCGCCUCUCCAGGGCCUUGAUGGGGAGCUGGUGCUCGGCCCCAGCAGCCCUGGGGCAAUCUCUAAAGCAGAGAAAGAGAGGUGCUUCAUGAAGAGGUCUUGGGCUUUCUUUAGAAUUCAGCCCUUCCCCUUUCUUCUUCCUAGGGGACUCCCAGCAUAGUUUACCCUGGGAGCCCUGACUGUGUUGCAACGGGCUCAGGGUAGAGACCCGGUGACAUGGAACCAGCCAGGCAGCAACCUAUGCCUGCAAGUGAGUGUGGAGAAGAAGGAGGUGCAGGAUCUGCCGCAAGGAGGGGCGCUCAGCAUCAGUCUUGUGAAGUCAUCAGUGUGCUCCGCUGUCCAUGUAGCAGCAGUUACACCAGCCAAAGAGAGAAACAAAGUCAGGGCAUGUGUACGUGCCCCGGUGCCCUUUUGGUUUCCGUUAGGCACCUUGCUCAAUUUCCUGAUAAACAAAACAGAGCCAUCUGUGACUCUUCCAGCACACCUCCACUUUUAGGGAAUUUUUAGGGAUUUUAGGUCCCAGAGAGGAGAAACAGAACAGGGGAAGAAGUGCCCGAUCGGUGUUAGGGGCCAUGGUUCGAGGUCCUGCUUGUGUGACCUUCAGCAAGUUACCUUCCCUGUUUGCUUCCAUUUCCACACCUGUGCAACAGGGCUGCGCUCUGUCUGAGAGACUAGAGGGUCACGUCGGAUCAUGAAUAGCGUUUGGAACUGCUAAACACGCAUUCAGUAAUCUCAUUUGUCAAGGAUGGGAGCUCAGACCACAGGGCCUGUCUGAGACACAGCUGGGAAGUUUUUUUCUAGUUUCCCUUUUCUGAAAAUCUGCUCCCACUCGGUGGUUUCUCCUGCCUACCACUGGCACCCAGCGUCUGGAUAUGUUGCCUACUGCACUGCCUACCAAGAACGCGUCAACGUUAUCCCCAUGUUGUGUGAGAGCAGGAAAAGAGGGUCUCCAUCUUCGAGCUGAAGAGUCUUUCCCAGAGUGGAUGUGCAGCCACCACCUGCCCAGGGGGUAUUUUCCCAGAGCAUCAUUUCUACUCUACAAAGAAUUUUAAAUUUUGUGGGGUUUAUUUUGUUUGUUUGUUUGUUUGUUUUUUGAGAUGAAGUCUUGUUCUGUUGCCCAGGCUGGAGUGCAGUGGUGUGAUCUCG